GCGCCUGUAGUUUAACGGAUAGAACACAGCCCUGCGGAGGCUGGGAUCGAGGUUCAAUUCCUCGCAGGCGCA
rnacentral:tRNA from 1 species